rnacentral:lncRNA from 1 species
AUCAAGAAUCUAGUCUUUAAUAACAUAUUUAGAAAAAAAAAAAAAGAAAACAAAAAGAAAAAGAAACCAACUUUUCCUCCUCGUUUUGUUUCAUUCCGUUCCGUAUCGUAAUUCUCUCUAAUUCAAACCGCCUACUGGUUUCUUACUUAACGUAAUUUAAACGUUCCUCCAUAUCAUUAAGGCCUAAACGGAUAUAUAACAUUUUAAUAUAUGCGAAAUUCUCGCGAUUUAAUCAGGAAGCCGGAAAACGAGUUCGAAACGUGGCCAGUUUGAGAACGAGGGCGUUUUGUUUCGCGGCCCAAUUUCGUUUCAAACGUAUAUCAUUUUACGUGUCGAUGGAUUUGGGUCGUAGAACUAUAUCGCGAUCGGUUAAUGGCGUUGCGUAACGCCAGACGAGAUACGCGACUCGAUAAAAAUCGAUUGUAUCAUCGACGGUGGGAACGUUCGUUUGGUUUCCUCAAGAUCGAGAGCCUUGUUAUAACCCUCUCUCUUGUUAGGUUUAGAGCCCCGGAGCACGGGAACGAUGGAGCAAUUCGUUCCCUGGUCGAAGUCGUAACCGCGGUGUAGAGGUGUCGUAACAGCGACUUAAUAACAGCUACGUUGAAAAGGGAAGGGAAAAGGAAGGAAGAUUUUUAUCGGUUCUCGCUCAAAUUCGCUACUCUAUAUUUCACCGUGAGGAACAUUCUAACGCACUUUACAAAGCUCUUAAGAAUUCAUCAUGGAACUAAAACGAAGAUAAAUAGAAUAUAGGAACAUACAAUCGAUAUAAAAUAAUCUGAGGAACUAUGCGGUAAAAAGUGGAAUAAAAGCAUUAUCUAUCGGAAACGUGGAUUAGCGCCCUACAUAAAAUACAUAGUCACUAAAAUACUAUAUGUAUGUAUGUUAUUUCAUACUUUUAUGAAUAUAGCUAAAGAAAUGAGUUCUAAAUAGAAAUUUCAUUUACUGAUAUAGAGUUUCACCUAUCAAAGACUGUAAUAAGUGCUUCAUUCUUUUGGAUAUUUUAUACAUCUUCGCAUAUUAAGUAUAUUCAUCGUAUAAAAUGCAUAAAUAAUACAAUCUAAUAAUCAUGUAGUAAUGUGUAAAUAUUGAAAGCUUUAAAAACGCAUAAAGUGCAUAGAUGCAAUGUUUCAGAAAAUAUGUCCAACGUCAAUUCUUGAUUUCAGUGUAUUAGAUAGGUUAGACUCCUAGACCAUGAGCCCUCAAGCGUUGAAGCCAGCUGUCCACUAUUAAGGGCAUAGAGGGCGCCAAAACAUUGUAUCGCCCGCAGUGCCAAACUCUUGCUACAUCUCAUUAACACGGAAGAAUUUAAGAAACGACAAUGAAUAUUUACUUUCAUUUUUUAAAAGUACCCCACAGUAACAAGUCAUUGUUCCUCUGUAAUAAAAAUGGCAGGUCGAUAAAGUGCUAAUAAUCGAUGUAGAAGUCAAGUAUUCACGGAUCGAAAAGUAGAAAGUGAAGUAUCCCAUCUACGAUUUACACUCCGUUAACGAUCGUUUGUCACGAUCGAAGAUAAAGACGGUGAGAUUCCUACGGCGUUGGUUCCAAUGAGAAUCGCAGCCAAUCGUAUCCAAUGAGAAUUGAUGGAAAUGGGAACCCUUAUCACGAGAUGUCGCCAUCCCCUGCUAAGGAUUAAAUUAUGUAAAUUCCCGGGAGUAUCGGUCGUGACCGAUCGAAUACGCAAAAAGAACACCGAUCGAAGUACAUAUUCUUUUGGAAUUCGAUUAUGUGUCAACACGAUCGAAAUAUGUACGAACAGGAACAUAAGAAAAGAUAAAAGGAGCGUAUUAUAAGGCUUGGAUGUCUACGAUCCGGCGACAAGCAUACAAGUAUAAUUGCUUAUGGAUGCGGACACGCCCUGAGAGAAAAAUUCAUCCGGGGAAUGCGCUGAAGUAACCACGUCCUUGACCGUACUUGACGGAAACGGCAUUCAACCUUCUGAUGCCUUCUUCUCCGUCGUCCAAGAUGGAAUUCUACCGCGAGGCGGUUGUAUUCCAAGCUGAACACCGUGUUUGGAACUUUUAUUUGAUGACUACCUAAAGAAAAUAUCGGAAAGAAAAUCGGGCAAGAAUGUUGGAAGUUGUUAAUUCUAAAAGUAGCGGAAUUUUUAUUUCUUUUAAAACACUAAUAACGCAUUGUUCGAAAACAAGAAUUUUGGCUUCUAUAUUUCAAAAUGACCUGAAUAUUUACGAAAGAUAAGAAAACGAUUGCCUAUUUUAAUACUAUGCCGUGAUUUGUCGAGUAUCUAAUCUAUAAAAUAGUUUUCAAGGAUACUAGAUAUCCUAAUAAAUGAUAAAACGAUUUAAGCGCCAAGUUACACAGAUCAUAUGUAUUUAUUUCAUCUUUCUAGACUUUCAUUGUAAGACUAAGAAUCACCUUUGUAAAUUUCCAUGCUUUCUACAAAGUAUACAAGCAACACAGUUACAUACGUGUAAUGCAGGUAAAUUACUCAAGAAUAUUAUCCGCCUGACUUGGAAGUGGGCAUGUAGGAUGGAACCUGAUUCGCAGUGCGAAGUCUAAAUGACACGGGAGAGGAACGGGAAAUCUGACAUUCUCGUUUUCCUCUCGCACAAGCUAGCACCUCGUUAACUGACCAAGAUCUUUUUUCAUUAACUGGCUAUCGCCAUCCUCGCCAAUUAGGAUACAAAAAGAUUGGAAUAGAAAUGAAAAAAUCUUGGUUCUAUAAAAAUUACGCAAAGGUAAUUUACAAGGGCCGUAUAAUAAUAGUACCGUGUGAUUGACUUAAGAAAUGGAGGAGGAAUUUGAAAUUUUUAAAAGAUUUAUUUCGUUUGGACCAAAAAUUUUGUGCUUCUCGCCUGGAGGCUUUCCUUCCUCCUUCUUUUUCGUGACAACGUAACGCAACAUGCUCGUUAGAUUGGGGUUCGAGUGCGCGAGAAAGGGGAGGAAUUUAUGCCGUCGUUAACGUAACGUUCCUUGGUGCAAGGUGGUUUACAAGCAACAUCGUAAAAUCCGCGUCUUCUCGAUUUAUCAUAGCACGAGCAACAAACUGCUCGCAUUCCCUUCAUUCGCCAGUGCGUGGAAUAUCUCGUGGUGAAGGUUAUUCACCCUUCUCGAGGGACUAAAAUCACUCUAGAUCCUCCGAGAUAAUGAGGUAUAUCGAAUUGGUAAUAAACAGUGGAAAAGGAGUAUCUCAAGAGAAUUUUUUCAAUACAUUUCCUUUACAUUCUUUGUUAUAAUAAUUUAGUAUUUUAUUAUCCUUCAGUUUUUUUUGUUAGUUUCUUGUCGAUUUAUCAAAAAAUAAUUUUGAACAUAUAAUGUCAAUUGACCAUUUUGUCUGAUUAAUUGUCGAAAAUAUAUUCCUAAGAAAUUUCGAGUAUUUCUAUUCUUCUAAUGUAAGUAAGAUACAAAUACCAGACAUGUUUGUUUAUUUUACAUAUGUAGUAUUAGUAUAUUUUACUCGCAUAACAAUUGUUUAUUUUACAUACACAAUACCAGAGAGUCACUUUAUGAAGUCAGUUUUAAAACUAUUGAGUAUGGUGAAACCAAAUAAAGAAUCAAUUAAAGUUUUUGAACGAGGGAGAAAUAAUAUAAAAUAUAAAAUAGAUAGAAUCUAAGAUAGAUACUAUAAAAUAUAUACAAUAUAAAGGGACUAAACCAUCGCUUUAGAACUUCUUACUAGGCUGAUACGAGUAUCAUCCGGAAUACAUAUUAGGAAAAGGAACAAAACACUUUAUUAGAUACAUCCAGUAUCUUAAAUCCAGUAUCUUAAAAGCUCUGACAAGGAUUUUCAAAGACACAUUCGAUACACCUAUUACUAUUGUGCAUUAACUCUUAAGGUCUCAACGCUCAAGUCUCAUACUAAGGUAAGAUACCUGCUACACAACCUAUAAAACCAGAUCAAAUUAGAUCGACUUAAUAAAAGUACUCUUAAUAGCAAUACUUUUAAUAGAGUCAAUUACCACUUCUAUUUCAACCAUAGAUUCGGCGAUAGAUUACCGAAGAAACCAACUGGAACUAUUAACGAUGGACCAUAUUAAUUACCUAAAAUGCAAUACGUAGAUGAAAGUCGAUACUCUGAAUUCUGUUGCACAAUAAUUUAUCAGCUAAUAAUAUUAAUGAAUUGACAAUUUCAAGCUGCAAGUUAAACUUCUUUUUCGCAACUUUGCAUUUAUAUUGAUCUUUAUGCACCUAUGGGAAAAUAGAAUGCACAUAAUAUACAAAGAUACGUAUAUACGAAUAUCCAAAGUGGAUAAAACAAUUCUGAGAUACGAUAAAAAAAUAAAUUUGCUGAAAUAUCCACUAGUUCACUAAUAACAUGUAACUUGUGAUAUCUCAUUAAUAAUAUUAACUCAAUUGUGCAAGACUUGGUACCAGUCGAGGGCCAAAGCUUUCAAGAAAAUAACAAUUUGUGGAGGUACGACACGUAAAUGCCUGUUGAAAGUAAACAUAUCGCGGACAUACGGCGGUAUGAGCACUGAAAAAGUGGAAAGAAAGUUGCCAAUGCGCCUCGCAUACCUACUGAUCCGCCGGUUGCGAACAAGUUUCGCAGUGAAUGGACCGAGCGAAUGAACUUUUCACUCACUUGCAUCCAUGGUCGGGAUUAAUCUCGACUAAUCGAAACAUCCUGAUUAACUCAGUGAUACCUGGUCGAUAAAUAAGUAUUUUCGUCGUUUCUAUCUCGAACAGAUUAUGUACUUCCAUGAACUAUUGCUUUGUCACAGUGGUGCCGACCCGUCAAUGAUACAUACGCGUUAUCGAGAUUUUAGGAUAAUUUUCGAACAUUUUACUGCGGCUUUCUAAAUCGAACGCAAUUAAUGCUUAUCGAUAUUACAAUGGCUAAUAACAUUAUUUUCAAAACAUGCUCGAUGUUUCGGCAUUCCUUGAAUUCGUCACGCAAAAGUCGCUACCUUAUAUUUGUUCGUGUGUAUUUUGUAACUGAAAAAUGAAAUUAUUCGUAAACGAUCAUAUACAAGUCACGCACAAAAAGUAGAAAUUAUGUUUGUUUUACGGAGAUCUCAUCGAUUAUCAAAUUGCGCAUAUUUAUACAAAUUCAUAUUGUCAUGAAUAUAGAUCAACAAUAGUUUUACAUACUAAAUAUUACAAAGUUAUCUCAUACAAUGGCUACGAAAAGUAUUGACUUCGAGACAUUAACUGUAUAGUUGUAUAACUAGUAUUAUUUGUAUUUGAUAUAUGUCGUAAACGCGUGAGUGGCAAAAACUACAUGAAUCCAUCCCCUUUUUUCUCAGGGUAUCGAAGGUCGUUCGAUGCAAUAUCGAUGCACGCGGAGUACGAUAAAUAUUUGCAAUUUAUGUCACGACGAUCAUAAUCAGUAUACGUAGGUAUUUCGUAGGCGUGAAUUACAGGUGAUUGCCGUGCAGUCACAGUGUACCAUAGACAUCUUCGAUGCUUUGAGCGCGUCGUUAAGGGAUUAAAAUAAUCUGGAGGUUUCAUUGGAAUUUUAUGUUCUUUUACGCAUAUUUCCGUAUAUAUUUAAUUAUUUAUAGUUACACCAAUUAUGUUUCAUCUUUAUUAUACCUUAUAAAGGAGGAGAGAAUGUAAAUUACGUAUUCGUGUUAUUAGCGGAUAAAAGAUAAGUACCGUAAAAACUUACGAAAUAACCCGUGUAAUUGCGUUUGUACAUCAACUAUCUAGCCAAUAAGAAAUUUUAGGAAUCUUUGCAAGACAUGCGAUUUAACGUGGACACAAUCUUAUUAAGAACAAUAGUAUUCAAAAUUCGAAAACAUUAUCGAUUAACGACAAACGGUGCAUUUGCUUGAGUCGAGAGAACGUCUAUCGAAAAUGUCAUGGGCGGGGAAUCUCCUUAUAAAACGGUGAAAAAAUGUUUGCUAUUCUUUCUCAUUUUUACAAUCAUUGAUCCCAUUAUUUACACCUUUUAACAAAAACAGGAUAUAUUAUUUUAUCAAAAAGAUAUAAAAAAUGUUAGUGAAAAAAAUAAGAAAGAAAUGAAGUCCCAAAACAAUGAAUCAUUGCGAUUCAUCGUUAACGCAAUGCUGAUAACGCGACAAAAAUGUUCACUACUAUUUACGAUUACAUACGAUGCAUACUUAUAUAUAUAUAUAAAGAUUAUGCACGGGGAAUCAAAAUCUUAUUAGUCUAUAAUGUUUGCAUAGUUAACAUGUUUAACGAGAAAAUCGUACGCUAUAUUUUUAUGAUGACUUCAAAGUGUCAAUUGCAUAAAAAUUUUUUCGGGGCACAAUAAUCGAGACGCAAGAUGAAUUCGUCGUCUCGUGGCUUUGCAUUGUUUACCGUACGAUUGUAUUACGUUUCGAUUUUCGAUCAAGUAAGUAUUCGAUAGAAAUAAAAUUGCAUCGAAUCUUUCCCCGUAAGUGCGUAUUACCGAGUACAUCGACCGCACAUCUUUCUCAUAAAGGAGGAAAGAUAAUAAAGUACAUCCGGUUAAAAUACAAACAUGUGUCAAUUAAUGGAAUUCGAUUGCAUGUUGUCGCGAUAGUAGGAUUUUUCUUAUUGAAGUCCGUUACCGUGACCAGGCACGAAGUAUGUAUAUAUAGAUAUAUAUGGUCGAGUGCUGAUUAUCAUCGGAGACGUAGAGCAACAGGUGUGACCACGACAGACGAUUCUUCGCGGGGAGAAAUCCACGUCGGUGUACUCGGUACAAUGACUCCACUCAAGAAAUCAUUUCCAU